CAGUUAGGUUAUUUCCACAGCCAGGCAAAGGCAGACGGAUCUUUCCAUUCUCUAUUUUAUUUGAGUACGAAUAAUUCCGAAUUACACCAAAUAUGAAGUCUAUUCUGUCAAUCGUUGUACUUGGGCUCAUUUACAGCGCUGUGGAGGCCAAAGAAUCUCACCCCAAGGUGCAGGUGUACAGCCGUAACCCUGGCAACUUUGGCGAUAAGAACACCCUGAUCUGUCACGUGAGUGGCUUCCACCCCCCUGACAUCAGCAUCCAGCUCCUGAAGAACGGCGUGGAGAUCCCCGACGCCAAGCAGACAGACCUGGCCUUCGAACAGGGAUGGCAGUUCCACCUCACCAAGAGUGUUGGAUUCACACCAGCCAGCGGAGAGGAGUACACCUGCAGAGUCCGUCACCUGAAGAAUCUGAAGACCUACACCUGGGGUGAGUUACUAGUGUAGUUAGAGGAGUACACCUGGGGUGAGUUACUAGUGUAGUUAGAGGAGUACACCUGGGGUGAGUUACUAGUGUAGUUAGUAGUUAGAGGAGUACACCUGGGGUGAGUUACUAGUGUAGUUAGUAGUUAGAGGAGUAUACCUGGGGUGAGUUACUGAUUUAGUUAGUAGUUAGAGGAGUAUACCUGGGGUGAGUUACUGAUUUAGUUAGUAGUUAUAGGAGUACACCUGGGGUGAGCUACUAGUGUAGUUAGAAGAGUAUACCUGGGGUGAGUUACUGAUUUAGUUAGAGGAGUACACCUGACUGGCCUAUCCUCUCACAUCUCCACAAGUGUCUAGGGAGGAAGUACAGGGCUUUUUUUGCUGGACAGGGCCCUGGAGAGCUAGGUUCAUUAUGUGGUCAUUGAUUUAGAUACCAAUUGAUGAGUCAUUAGUUACAGUAAGAGACUGAUUUCAUGUAGACAUAUAGUUUGUGGAAGUCUGUAAAACAAUGACAAUGUUGUCUGUGUUGUUGUUGUUUUCUCCAGAGGCAGAUAUGUAAGGAUCUGGAGCAGGACAUAAUGGCGGCCAUUCCAUCUGUGGUUGUCCAAUCCGUGCCAGCCUUUCACUAGAGCUGAGAUGACAAACUGGGGCUUUUUUAGUUUUUGUUUUUUUGGUACCACUUUGUUGCCAUGGUGCCAGUUUCAAUGGUUUUGAAUUGACAAUCAUUACUAAAACACUUACACACAAAAUUGUUCAGAUUUUUUUUUGGGGGGGCAAGCUAUUUUUAAUUGACAAAUGGCACAGCUUCUGAUGAACAUCCUCAAUCAAAGUCACUUUUUUCAAAACAAUAAAGGCUUUUAUCAAGUAUUUUAUUUUUAGAUAAAAUAAAAAAAAACUUUAAUUUCCUUGAAAUUGGUACCAUUAGAUUUGACCACUUUUUCUCAUAAAUAAACAAUAAAUAAACAAACUCCAUAACUUGCACUAUUUGAAUGUGGUUUUAGCUAUAAGCAACAGUGUAAUAUAAAGAAUGAUAUUUGAUCAGCAUUUUAAUUUUUAAAGCCCAAAUUAUUUUCGAGGAAGCCCAUGUGAUAUGUAUUUGUGUGACCUGUAAAUAUCAACGUUCAUUUUUGGUUUUGAAGUCAUUUAUCAAUAUAACAUCUCAUCUUCUGUCUAUCCUUCAACAUUCCUGUAACGGACCCAAUUAUCAACAGUAAAACAAAAUGGGGUCUUUUUACAGGCACAUUUUUUGCCAAGUAGAGAACUGUAUUUUCAUUACUUAAAAAAAAAAAGAAGAUAUAUUCUGUCUUUCCGGUGUAUUAUACAACACUUUUCUGUUCAGUUUGAUUAAAUAAAUAAAUGGUAAACUAUUGACAUUGGACAACUAUUUGACUAAAUAUUUUUAAUU